rnacentral:rRNA from 2 species
CAGGCCUAACACAUGCAAGUCGAACGCCCUUUGUCUCGCAAGAGAGGGAGGGAGUGGCGGACGGGUGAGUAACACAUGGGUGACCUACCCCCCAGUGAGGGAUACCGGCGAGAAAUUGCCGACAAGCCCGCAUAGGGUCUUGCUGCUAGAGCAGCAAGAGCAAAGGUGCUUUUUCGCGAGAGAGAGUGCCGCUGAGGGAUGGGCCUGUGGCCGAUUAGCUAGUUGGUGAGGUAAGAGCUCACCAAGGCGUCGAUCGGUAGCUGGUCUGAGAGGACGAUCAGCCACACUGGGAUUGAGAACGGCCCAGACUCCUACGGGGGGCAGCAGUGAGGAAUUUUCCGCAAUGGACGCAAGUCUGACGGAGCAACGCCGCGUGCAGGAGGACGCUUUUCGGAGUGUAAACUGCUUUUCUGUGGGAAGAGCUACGGACGGUACCACAGGAAGAAGCCCCGGCUAACUACGUGCCAGCAGCCGCGGUAAUACA